rnacentral:rRNA from 1 species
AACGCGAAGAACCUUACCUGGGUUUGACAUGCACAGGACGCCGGCAGAGAUGUCGGUUCCCUUGUGGCCUGUGUGCAGGUGGUGCAUGGCUGUCGUCAGCUCGUGUCGUGAGAUGUUGGGUUAAGUCCCGCAACGAGCGCAACCCUUGUCUCAUGUUGCCAGCACGUUAUGGUGGGGACUCGUGAGAGACUGCCGGGGUCAACUCGGAGGAAGGUGGGGAUGACGUCAAGUCAUCAUGCCCCUUAUGUCCAGGGCUUCACACAUGCUACAAUGGCCGGUACAAAGGGCUGCGAUGCCGUGAGGUGGAGCGAAUCCUUGUUAAAGCCGGUCUCAGUUCGGAUCGGGGUCUGCAACUCGACCUCGUGAAGUCGGAGUCGCUAGUAAUCGCAGAUCAGCAACGCUGCGGUGAAUACGUUCCCGGGCCUUGUACACACCG